AUGGGGGCAACCCUGAUGCAGCGACGCCGCGUGGGUGAUGACGGCCUUCGGGUUGUAAAGCCCUUUUGCCAUUGACGAGAACGGACGGUAGAUGGCGAAUAAGCCUCGGCUAACUACGUGCCAGCAGCCGCGGUAAA
rnacentral:rRNA from 1 species